GCGGAGGGAUCAUUACCGAGUUUACAACUCCCAAACCCCUGUGAACAUACCACUUGUUGCCUCGGCGGAUCAGCCCGCUCCCGGUAAAACGGGACGGCCCGCCAGAGGACCCCUAAACUCUGUUUCUAUAUGUAACUUCUGAGUAAAACCAUAAAUAAAUCAAAACUUUCAACAACGGAUCUCUUGGUUCUGGCAUCGAUGAAGAACGCAGCAAAAUGCGAUAAGUAAUGUGAAUUGCAGAAUUCAGUGAAUCAUCGAAUCUUUGAACGCACAUUGCGCCCGCCAGUAUUCUGGCGGGCAUGCCUGUUCGAGCGUCAUUUCAACCCUCAAGCACAGCUUGGUGUUGGGACUCGCGUUAAUUCGCGUUCCUCAAAUUGAUUGGCGGUCACGUCGAGCUUCCAUAGCGUAGUAGUAAAACCCUCGUUACUGGUAAUCGUCGCGGCCACGCCGUUAAACCCCAACUUCUGAAUGUUGACCUCGGAUCAGGUAGGAAUACCCGCUGAACUUAAGCAUAUCAAUAAGCGGAGGAAAAGAAACCAACAGGGAUUGCCCUAGUAACGGCGAGUGAAGCGGCAACAGCUCAAAUUUGAAAUCUGGCUCUCGGGCCCGAGUUGUAAUUUGUAGAGGAUACUUUUGAUGCGGUGCCUUCCGAGUUCCCUGGAACGGGACGCCAUAGAGGGUGAGAGCCCCGUCUGGUUGGAUGCCAAAUCUCUGUAAAGUUCCUUCAACGAGUCGAGUAGUUUGGGAAUGCUGCUCUAAAUGGGAGGUAUAUGUCUUCUAAAGCUAAAUACCGGCCAGAGACCGAUAGCGCACAAGUAGAGUGAUCGAAAGAUGAAAAGCACUUUGAAAAGAGAGUUAAAAAGUACGUGAAAUUGUUGAAAGGGAAGCGUUUAUGACCAGACUUGGGCUUGGUUAAUCAUCUGGGGUUCUCCCCAGUGCACUUUUCCAGUCCAGGCCAGCAUCAGUUUUCCCCGGGGGAUAAAGGCGGCGGGAAUGUGGCUCUCUUCGGGGAGUGUUAUAGCCCGUCGUGUAAUACCCUGGGGGGGACUGAGGUUCGCGCAUCUGCA
rnacentral:rRNA from 1 species